rnacentral:rRNA from 1 species
CCGCGUGUGUGAAGAAGGCCUUCGGUUGUAAAGCACUUCGGCCGGAACGAAAUCGCGCGGGCUAACACUCCGCGUGGAUGACGGUACCGGAAGAAGAAGCACCGGCUAACUACGUGCCAGCAGCCGCGGUAAUACGUAGGGUGCGAGCGUUAAUCGGAAUUACUGGGCGUAAAGUGUGCGCAGGUGGCCGCGCAAGUCGAGUGUGAAAGCCCCGGGCUUAACUUGGGAAUUGCGCUCGAAACUACGUGGCUAGAGUGUGGCAGAGGAAGGUGGAAUUCCACGUGUAGCGGUGAAAUGCGUAGAGAUGUGGAGGAACACCGAUGGCGAAGGCAGCCUUCUGGGCCAACACUGACGCUCAUGCACGAAAGCGUGGGGAGCAAACAGGAUUAGAUACCCUGGUAGUCCACGCCCUAAACGAUGAUGACUAGUUGUUGGGGGAGUUAAAUCCCUUAGUAACGCAGCUAACGCGUGAAGUCAUCCGCCUGGGGAGUACGGUCGCAAGAUUA